UACGGGAGGGCAAGCGUUAUCCAUCAUGACUAGGCGUAAAGAGUCCGUAGACUGUAAACUAAGUUGCUUGUGAAAUUUUAAAGCCUAACUUUAAGCCCACUUUCAAUACUGUUUUACUAGAGUUUUAUACAGAAAAGUAGAAAUUUUUACAUGGAGGGAUAAAAUCCGUAGAUAUGUAAAGGAAUGUCGUAGGCGAAGGCGGCUUUUUAGUAAAGACGUGACGUUGAGGGGACG
rnacentral:rRNA from 1 species